GGAGAAGUCGCGUAGUUGGUCGAGCGCGCGCGACUGGAAAUCGCGUAACUACCAAACAUAGUUCGAGAGUUCGAAUCUCUCCUUCUCCGCCA
rnacentral:tRNA from 1 species